CACGAAGGAACGCAGACUAAGAAUGCCAUGUCCUGUGGCAACGGCUGCAUGACCCCCAUCCUGGGGG
rnacentral:sRNA from 2 species